rnacentral:lncRNA from 8 species
GGGGAUAUGAGAAGUCAUGUGACUACGGGGAAUUAGGAGGAGGAGAGAGCGAUACAGGUUUCAACACGCCCUUCAACACGCCCAACACGCCCUUCCUCCGUCACAGCAGAAUAUGGAAUAUCCGUCAUAAAACAUUGCUUUAAAAAAGUUGAGUGAAUGUUCUGUUAUAGUAGAGGAUACUUGUCUUCAUGAGAAGAUGGCUUCAUUGUCUGGAUUAACAUAACAUGGAGAAGAACCAGGUUACCAUUGUCAUCGAUUCAAUUACCGGUAGAAACUGCAGCCAAACAUUAACACAGUGGUUUUGAAUUCAUUGGGAGUCCUACAUUGCAGUGGCUUAAAUGGGAUGUGGAUCAAGUGCCUCUGAAAACAAUCCAUUGGUUGUAGAGGAUGAGUCAGAAGAUGUUGUCACUUUUGAAGAACUAGAUUUUGUGCUUAUUGGUUGCCAUGGGGCUAGAAAGAAUAUACCAGGAAACAUCAUCCUGAACAAAAAGGAAUUCAAUUACUGGACAUCAUGGAGAAAACAAGCUGUGAAGAAAGAGACUAAGCUAGGCAGUCGUAAAAUUACUUUGAUCCGCACUGCAGGUUGAUCUGGGAGUUCAUGUAAGGAGGAGACAAAACAGCAGAUUAUAGAAUCUGUCCGGUCCUCAUUUACAGAUGGACCUAACGCUAUCCUCUUGGUUAUUAGAAUCAGUUGUACAGACUCUCUAAAACCGACAAUAUCUAUUUUCAAGAAUGAGGAAGGAGAGAAAAGCACAUAUGAAGAUAUAUUUAUCGAAAGAGCAUUGAAUAAUACAGUGGUGCUGUUCACAAAUGAGGAAGAAUUGGACAAAUUGCAUCUAACUAUUGUCGUGGAAUAUUGCUUCAAAAAUAUAACACUCUUACAAGAACUUGUGAAUUCAAUAUAGGCUUUAAUACAAAGUAGCAAAGCCGAGCCCUUCCAUGGAAAGACCCUACCACACGCAACAGAGCCGAGCCCCUCCAUGGAAAAGACUAAAUUCUCAUAUUACAGAGUCCUAUCUUUAUAGGAUUCUGUCUUUGCAUAACGUAUAGAGUCCCCUCCCUCUAUAUGAAAAUAGCUUCCCUAGACCGUUCUUCACCAUUAUCUCUCCGUGUCAG